CCCUUAGAUGUUCUGGCCGCACGCGCGCUACACUGACGAAUGCAACGAGCUUAUAACCUUGGCCGAAAGGUCUGGGUAAUCUCCAAAUUUCGUCGUGAUGGGGAUAGAUUAUUGCAAUUAUUAAUCUUCAACGAGGAAUGCCUAGUAAGCGCAAGUCAUCAGCUUGCGUUGAUUACGUCCCUGCCCUUUGUACACACCGCCCGUCGCUCCUACCGAUUGAAUGGUCCGGUGAAGCGUUCGGACCGUGGCCUUUGGACGGUUCGCCGUCUGUUGGCUGCGGGAAGUUCGUUAAACCUUAUCAUUUAGAGGAAGGAGAAGUCGUAACA
rnacentral:rRNA from 1 species